rnacentral:rRNA from 1 species
UACGGAGGAUCCAAGCGUUAUCCGGAAUCAUUGGGUUUAAAGGGUCCGUAGGCGGCCUUAUAAGUCAGUGGUGAAAUCUCCUAGCUCAACUAGGAAACUGCCAUUGAUACUGUAGGGCUUGAAUUAUUAGGAAGUAACUAGAAUAUGUAGUGUAGCGGUGAAAUGCUUAGAUAUUACAUGGAAUACCAAUUGCGAAGGCAGGUUACUACUAAUGGAUUGACGCUGAUGGACGAAAGCGUGGGGAGCGAACAGG